GAAUAAUAUACACAACAGUAUUCAGAGCUCUUGAUUAAAGGCUGGAAACUUUUUCUUAGGCAAUUGCAUUUCUAAGAUAACAUAUACCCAGGAUUGAAACUUUCUGGAUCUCAUUUCUCCUUUUCUUUCUCCUUCCUAGAAUUAUUUUUAUAUCAGGUUCUUAAAUUUCUUUGUUAAUUCUUUGGGAUCACAAGCAAGGAAAACAUUGUGCAAAACAGAUGGCUAUAAAUAGAAAAGUGAGGUUUGGGUCCUAAUUAUUGCUGUUUUUUAAAAUAAGAAUCACAUUAAGCCAAAUAUGCUUGAAUUGAAACUGAGAAAAUAGUUUGUGCCACCAAAAGAAGAAGAAAAAGAAAGUGGAGGGUGUUUGCAGCAAACAUUUGCCUACUCCAACUUCUUAAUGCUUAGAACAGGAUCAAUUUAGAUCCUUAGAGAUCAUCCUUACACUGAUCAAUCAAUGUGACUGAGUUUUCUUUUUUGUAUG
rnacentral:lncRNA from 1 species